ensembl:lncRNA
GGACCCAACCAUAAUUGUAGAGAGCACGCUGACCUAGCACAAUAAAACCCAACCGGUCGGAGCAGCUGCCUCUCCAUGCCAUCUGCUUCUGCCUUGCUGAGCUGUCAGGCAUCGAGGCGCGUAGCGCGCCUGUUUACUGAAGGCCCAGUGUUUUCUGCGUGCGUGCGAACUGCGGAUUGUGUGCGGUGAAAGACACGGGGGGUUAACAGAUCCGGCACAGCCCCGCUGGCUGGGAAACAGACACGGAGACACAAGGAAGCCAAAUGUCUUUCCAAGGAAAUUGCGACUCGGUGCUGUUUGGUAAAUACAGAAGGCUGCUAUUUUGUGAACACGUUGUGGAUUAUUUCAGGGAAACAUUGCCAUAGAGGCAGGAAGUUGAGGUGAACAAACUUGUGUUAGUGCUUCUCUCCUUUAUCAGUAGUUCUGUGUACAUAAACAAGACAAUGAGUGUGAGAAUAUUUACU